rnacentral:rRNA from 1 species
UGGGGAAUAUUGCACAAUGGGCGCAAGCCUGAUGCAGCCAUGCCGCGUGUGUGAAGAAGGCCUUGGGUUGUAAAGCACUUUCAGCGGGGAGGAAGGCGAUAAGGUUAAUAACCUUGUCGAUUGACGUUACCCGCAGAAGAAGCACCGGCUAACUCCGUGCCAG